AUUGAACGCUGGCGGCAGGCCUAACACAUGCAAGUCGAGCGAGAGGGGGACGGGUGAGAAUUGUCUGGGGAAAUGCCAGAGGGAGGGGGAGAACUACUGGAAACGGUAGCUAAUACAGCAUACGAUCGAAUGUGCCCAGAUGGGAUUAGCUGGUAGGUGGGGUAACGGCUCACCUAGGCGACGAUCCCUAGCUGGUCUGUGAGGAUGACCAGCCACACUGGAACUGAGACACGGUCCAGACUCCUACGGGAGGCAGCAGUGGGGAAUAUUGCACAAUGGGCGCAAGCCUGAUGCAGCCAUGCCGCGUGUGUGAAGAAGGCCUUCGGGUUGUAAAGCACUUUCAGCGGGGAGGCGUUACCCGCAGAAGAAGCACCGGCUAACUCCGUGCCAGCAGCCGCGGUAAUAC
rnacentral:rRNA from 1 species